CGUAGGGUGCGAGCGUUAAUCGGGAAUUACUGGGCGUAAAGCGUGCGCUAGGCGGUUUGUUAAGAUAGGCGUGAAAUCCCCGGGCUCAACCUGGGAACUGCGCUUAUGACUGGCAAGCUAGGAGUACGGCAGAGGGGGGUGGAAUUCCACGUGUAGCAGUGAAAUGCGUAGAGAUGUGGAGGAACACCAAUGGCGAAGGCAGCCCCCUGGGUCGAUACUGACGCUCAUGGCACGAAAGCGUGGGUAGCAAACAGGAUUAGAUACCCUGGUAGUCCACGCCCUAAACGAUGUCAACUGGUUGUUGGGGGAUUUAUUCUCUUAGUAACGAAGCUAACGCGUGAAGUUGACCGCCUGGGGAGGUACGGUCGCAAGAUUA
rnacentral:rRNA from 1 species